CCUACGGGAGGCUGCAGUAGGGAAUUUUCGUCAAUGGGCGCAAGCCUGAACGAGCGAUGCCGCGUGAGUGAAGAAGGCCUUCGGGUCGUAAAGCUCUGUUGCGGGGGAAAAAAGGCAGCAUCAGGAAAUGGGUGCUGACUGAUGGUGCCCCGCCAGAAAGUCACGGCUAACUACGUGCCAGCAGCCGCGGUAAUACGUAGGUGGCGAGCGUUAUCCGGAUUUAUUGGGUUUAAAGGGUGCGCAGGCGGAUUUUUAAGUCAGCGGUCAAAUCGUGGGGCUCAACCCCAUCCAGCCGUUGAAACUGGGGAUCUAGAGUGUGCGAGAGGUAUGCGGAAUGCGUGGUGUAGCGGUGAAAUGCAUAGAUAUCACGCAGAACCCCGAUUGCGAAGGCAGCAUACCGGUGCACAACUGACGCUCAGGCACGAAAGCGUGGGUAUCGAACAGGAUUAGAUACCCCAGUAGUC
rnacentral:rRNA from 1 species